rnacentral:rRNA from 1 species
AUUGAACGCUGGCGGCAGGCCUAACACAUGCAAGUCGAGCGGAUGAAGGGAGCUUGCUCCUGGAUUCAGCGGCGGACGGGUGAGUAAUGCCUAGGAAUCUGCCUGGUAGUGGGGGAUAACGUCCGGAAACGGGCGCUAAUACCGCAUACGUCCUGAGGGAGAAAGUGGGGGAUCUUCGGACCUCACGCUAUCAGAUGAGCCUAGGUCGUAUUAGCUAGUUGGUGGGGUAAAGGCCUACCAAGGCGACGAUCCGUAACUGGUCUGCAAGGAUGAUCAGUCAAACUGGAACUGAGACACGGUCCAGCCUCUUACGGGAGGAAGAAGUGGGGAAUAUUGGACAAUGGGCGAAAGCCUGAUCCAGCCAUGCGGCGUGUGUGAAGAAGGUCUUCGGAUUGUAAAGCACUUUAAGUUGGGAGGAAGGGCAGUAAGUUAAUACCUUGCUGUUUGGACGUUACCAACAGAAUAAGCACCGCCUAACUUCGU